rnacentral:rRNA from 1 species
CCCUACGGGGCGCAGCAGGCGCGAAAACUUUACAAUGCGAGCAAUCGUGAUAAGGGAACUCCGAGUGCCUGUAAAAUCAGGCUGUCCGCCAGCGUAAAUAACUGGUGAAGAAAGGGCCGGGCAAGACCGGUGCCAGCCGCCGCGGUAAUACCGGCGGCUCGAGUGGUGGCCACUAUUACUGGGCUUAAAGCGUUCGUAGCUGGCUUGUUAAGUCUCUGGGGAAAUCUUCCGGCUCAACCGGAAGGCGUCUCAGGGAUACUGGCAGGCUAGGGACCGGAAGAGGUGAGAGGUACUCCAGGGGUAGGAGUGAAAUCCUGUAAUCC